rnacentral:misc_RNA from 1 species
GCACAAGGCCACACUAAGCCUUGAUGGGUUUAUCAACCUUCCAAAUCUUCUCCUUCGCCACCUUCAGAAACUUCAUCCACAACACCUUCAGAUUCAGAUUCUGUAAGCUUCUUCACAUCUAAAUCGAGUUCCAUUUCCUGACUAACCAAAUCAGCAAGGUCAAAUCUGCCUGCAUCACUGUAGGCAUCUAUAAUUGCGUUGUAUAAUGACUCAUUCGGCUCGAUAUGUCCAUAUUUUAACUGGCCAUAUAUCCGCUUUAUACCUU